GAUGUUAGCGGCGGACGGGUGAGUAACACGUGGGUAACCUGCCUGUAAGACUGGGAUAACUCCGGGAAACCGGAGCUAAUACCGGAUAGUUCCUUGAACCGCAUGGUUCAAGGAUGAAAGACGGUUUCGGCUGUCACUUACAGAUGGACCCGCGGCGCAUUAGCUAGUUGGUGGGGUAAUGGCUCACCAAGGCGACGAUGCGUAGCCGACCUGAGAGGGUGAUCGGCCACACUGGGACUGAGACACGGCCCAGACUCCUACGGGAGGCAGCAGUAGGGAAUCUUCCGCAAUGGACGAAAGUCUGACGGAGCAACGCCGCGUGAGUGAUGAAGGUUUUCGGAUCGUAAAGCUCUGUUGUUAGGGAAGAACAAGUGCGAGAGUAACUGCUCGCACCUUGACGGUACCUAACCAGAAAGCCACGGCUAACUACGUGCCAGCAGCCGCGGUAAUACGUAGGUGGCAAGCGUUGUCCGGAAUUAUUGGGCGUAAAGGGCUCGCAGGCGGUUUCUUAAGUCUGAUGUGAAAGCCCCCGGCUCAACCGGGGAGGGUCAUUGGAAACUGGGAAACUUGAGUGCAGAAGAGGAGAGUGGAAUUCCACGUGUAGCGGUGAAAUGCGUAGAGAUGUGGAGGAACACCAUUGGCGAAGGCGACUCUCUGGUCUGUAACUGACGCUGAGGAGCGAAAGCGUGGGGAGCGAACAGGAUUAGAUACCCUGGUAGUCCACGCCGUAAACGAUGAGUGCUAAGUGUUAGGGGGUUUCCGCCCCUUAGUGCUGCAGCUAACGCAUUAAGCACUCCGCCUGGGGAGUACGGUCGCAAGACUGAAACUCAAAGGAAUUGACGGGGGCCCGCACAAGCGGUGGAGCAUGUGGUUUAAUUCGAAGCAACGCGAAGAACCUUACCAGGUCUUGACAUCCUCUGACAACCCUAGAGAUAGGGCUUUCCCUUCGGGGACAGAGUGACAGGUGGUGCAUGGUUGUCGUCAGCUCGUGUCGUGAGAUGUUGGGUUAAGUCCCGCAACGAGCGCAACCCUUGAUCUUAGUUGCCAGCAUUUAGUUGGGCACUCUAAGGUGACUGCCGGUGACAAACCGGAGGAAGGUGGGGAUGACGUCAAAUCAUCAUGCCCCUUAUGACCUGGGCUACACACGUGCUACAAUGGACAGAACAAAGGGCUGCGAGACCGCAAGGUUUAGCCAAUCCCAUAAAUCUGUUCUCAGUUCGGAUCGCAGUCUGCAACUUCGACUGCGUGAAGCUGGAAUCGCUAGUAAUCGCGGAUCAGCAUGCC
rnacentral:rRNA from 2 species